GUUCGCGGUCGGCGAGCGCUGGGCACUGGCUCACGCCCCGGAGGCAGCCCCGUUCCAAAACGAAAGCAAUCACGUUUCACCCGGUUCAAACUCUUCGGGCCAGAUAAGCGAACCCCCUCCGUGAUUGCAGUCUCAGACUAAUUUGCCUAUGUAGCGGACGAGACAUUAGCCGAAUAAUUUAGUUUUAAUCGUCAUGCUACCGGACUAAGACUCCACCAGGUAAAUGCCACCCUGGCCCAAUCAGGGGCUCUUUCAAAACCGUUAAAAAAACAUGAUCAUUGUUAUUGGACAAAAUCAGAUAGUCCCGCCUCCAUUUAAAACUCCUUAUGCCGUUUUGUGCCUUCUGACCAACGUGAACGUGUGUUGGUCACGUGGUCGUGGGGUGGGGUCAACAGGUAGGUGAGUUGCAUGAGUUUUUCCGUUGAUAAAGUGCAACAUUGCUCUUGCUGGCUGUAACUACUGCCGUGCGCUCUCAAGACAACAUGGAUUUCGAUUUGGCUUCAGCUGUAGGUAAAGAUGAUCAGGUGAAAAAGGAUGAUGCCUCUGGCCAGGAACAGAACGCCCUAUUUGGAUGGGGGAAGAAGAAGGACAAAGAUGGGGAUAAGUGUGUGUCCAAGGACAAAUCAAAGGACCAUGACAAAUCGAAGGACUGUAAGCACCAUGACAAAUCAAAGGACCAUAAGGAGGACAAAGACAAGUCUAAGGAACAUAAAGACAAGAAACAUGGUGACAAGAAGGACAAAGACAAGUCUAAGGAACAUAAAGACAAGAAACAUGGUGACAAGAAGGACAAAGGUCAUAAGAAGAAGAAAGACAAGAAGCCAAAGGAGCAUAAGGACAAAGAUGAUGGGUCAUCAUCUUCCUCGUCCAGCAGCGAUGAGGAUGAAGGCAAGAAGAAGCAUCACUGAUUCUGGUGCUGUGAGGAAGUGCUACUGCCGGUGAACUCUUACAAUGUUUUGUACUGCAAUGUUGCAUGCAUGAUAUUUACUGUGUACUGUUUCCUUGUUGCUCCUGAUCAUGUUUUGAUGUGCCAGACUGUAAAGUAGUGGUUUUACAACCGAAUAUUAAAUAACCCAACAACCAGGAUAUAUGGUGAAUGUCAGACUUCUUUCCUCCCUAGUAAAAAGUCUAAUGUCCACCAGAAGGGGGAGGUGUUCUUCAUUGAAUGUUUAUUUAAUAGAUUGAAUUCAAUUGCUUUCAAGUUUUUUUUGUUAAAUUGUCCAGUUCAAAAGAUUGAAUUGCAUUCUGUUUUGUUUAUUUUAGCACAACUUAUGGGAAAGCUCAAUGUUCUUAGUUUGAAAUAAAAAGCAUAAGGGUGCAUAUACCCAAAGGUUUUCUCAACAGGGGAUAGAUAGUGUUGGGAGUGGGACGUAGGUACCGUGCAUGUUACUUCAGUACGUUCGUAUUGUACUCCAUCUAUGCAGAGUUUAGAUGGCAGUCCAUUCCUUGUCUAACCUGAGUUGACUUAGUGAGCAGGUGCACUGGCCUUGAGUAAAUUCAUUCUACAAAAACUAACUAGGAAAAGCAAAGCUGUACAUGACUGGGGUACACAAAAUGCGUGACAUGGAAAUGGGAAAUGGGAAAUGUUUCCGUAACACUGGCAUCAAUAUUGAAGUGGACCUGAACUCUAACAUGGGUUGUCAGGAAAGAGGAAUUAAAACAUUUAACAUACGGAAAAGGUUCAAAUACUUAAUCUUUUAUACCGGGCGGAAAAAGAAAAUGGAGCGAUUGCAAAAUGUAUCAAUAAAUAAAUAGUGUGUGGAUGCUGCUAUUGCAACUCCUAUCACACUAGGCUGUAUCACUGUUGGGAUGCAUAGGAGGGGAAAUGAACAGAUAUACAGCCUGUCUUUCUAGUGAACUUGUCAGCAGAACUAGACGGUCACUUUUCAUUUAUGUUUUCAUGGUUUAUGAAAUGAAAAACAAAUGGUAUGCUCAUAUGGUGUAUUGGCUACUAAACUCAGCAAAAAAAGAAACGUCAACUGCGUUUAUUUUCAGCAAACUUAACAUGUGUAAAUAUUGGUAUGAACAUAAGAUUCAACAACUGAGACAUAAACUGAACAAGUUCCACAGACAUGUGACUAACAGAAAUUGAAUAAUGUGUCCCUGAACAAAAGGGGGGGUCAAAAUCUAAAGUAACAGUCAGUAUCUCGUGUGGGCACCAGAUGCAUUAAGUACUGCAGUGCAUAUCCUCCUCAUGGACUGCACCAGAUUUGCCAGUUAUUGCUGUGAGAUGUUACCCCACUCUUCCACCAAGGCACCUGCAAGUUCAGACAUUUCUGGGGGGAAUGGCCCUAGCCCUCACCCUCCGAUCCAACAGGUCCCAGACGUGGUCAAUGGGAUUGAGAUCCGG
rnacentral:lncRNA from 1 species